rnacentral:rRNA from 1 species
CCUACGGGAGGCAGCAGUGAGGAAUAUUGGUCAAUGGACGCAAGUCUGAACCAGCCAUGCCGCGUGCAGGAAGACGGCUCUAUGAGUUGUAAAUAGCUUUUGUACGGGGGUAAAUCCCGAUACGUGUAACGGGUUGAAAGUAUCUUACGAAUAAGGAUCGGCUAACUCCGUGCCAGCAGCCGCGGUAAGACGGAGGAUUCAAGCGUUAUCCGGAUUUAUUGGGUUUAAAGGGUGCGUAGGCGGUUCGAUAAGUUAGAGGUGAAAUCCCGGGGCUCAACUCCGGCACUGCAUCUGAUACUGGCCAGCUAGAGUCUAGUAGCGGUAGGCAGAAUGUAAGGUGUAGCGGUGAAAUGCGUAGAGAU